CGAUGGUAGAGAGAAGCGAGAGGCUAGAAGGAGAGAGAGAGAGAGAGAGAGAGAGAGAGAGAGAGAGAGAGAGCAGACAACCGUUGUCGCCGGCGGUCUGUUGGUUUAUGGCUAGAGAGCCGCCGUCACCGGCGGUGUUCGUCGGUCCAAGAGUGCCUAUGGCUUUCAUCUGAACCCACGAUUGUGGCAUCGCAUCUGGAUUUUGAUGCAACGCCGUUCGUCGGAACCCUAAAUAACACAGGCUUAAUACUGGUCCAUGUUUUUUCUGCCACUAAACCUCACUCCGCUCCUGCCGUCUAGCCCUUCAUGCCGCUUCAACCUCUGCUUCACCAGGGAGCAUCAUGCGUUGAUGGUGGUCUUACAAUAGCAACUACCGGUUUUCUUUGAUCUCAAUUACUUAUUAUUGUGAAUGGGUCCUCUUUGAACCUCUUGAAUACUUAUUUGAUGCUAACGAGUGGCGAUUGAACAUAGGCUUAAGUUACAUUGAAGGCGGAAAAAGUGGAUAAGUCUAUUGAAAAAAAGUUAAGCAAUGUUUGUAAAGGGACAAAACAUUGUAUGUGGUAGCACGUUUAAGGGAUAGGUGCAUGCGUCUCUGAGGCACAUGUUAGCACAGCAUCAAACUGGCACAUGUUACCAUAACAUCACCAAUGGUAUCCCCUAAAGCCUAGGAUGGUGGGCAAAGUGGCUAUAGGAAUUUGCAUCCUAAAGAUGGGAUACUGGAUGGCAAUGGUGCUGCCACGGUUGCGAUGGUGGAUGGCAGCGGUGCUGCAAGCAGCCUCAUAGUCAAUAAGAAGUUUUUUUAUUGCUUUUGAGACAAACUUAAAAAACCAUUGCAAAUCAAAUGGUAAUGUUGAAUUUUUUUAAAGCUUUUGUAGAUUACAAGAAGAUAAUCAGACUUUAUUUUUCUUCUAGCACAUCUCCUUUGUCCGAUCGAUGCUAUCGUCUUUAACAAUGCAAAAUUCACAUUAACCAAACUUUAAAUAAACUAAAGAGGAGGUUUUAGUAGCUCUGAAAUUAUAAAUUUUAGGUUUACAUACUACUCCUAUGAAGCAUAACUCCCAUGAGCAAUGUUAAAAUGUAUUACAUGAACUUAACAUUCUAUGCUUUGCUCACUCUUUGGAUAUAUUUUGUUAACUGGUAUAUGUAAUUUGGUUGCCUUCUUGCAACGGUGGUUUUCCACCAGCAUGAAUUAAUGGAGUGAAAAACGAAAUGAUCUCAGCAAGAUCCUUUUCUUUUAAAAAUGUGAAGUGGGGAUCCAUAAGAAAAUCAAGAUCUUUCUCCCUCUCUCAUGGUCAAAAUAUUAUAGUAGCAGUUACACUAUGAAGAUUUGAGAAUUUCUUCAAUAUGCUAAGUAGUAUAUAGUUUCCAAUGUUGAACAUUGAGUUACUUGCUUCAUAUUAGUAAACCUUAUAUGGAUCUAUUUAUACCAAAUAUUUUGAGCUCUUGGUGUCUAAAUAAUAAUCUACUAGAAUGCAGGAGACUAACGACAUUUAAUUCGAGCGACUUGACAAAGAGAUCUGUGAAAGAUUUGUUUAGGAUGUUGAACGGAUUCAUUGCUAAUCUGAAUCCUUGCAAGAGUGCCAAUGCAUUGCAGUCACUUCCUAAAAUGCUAACUUUAUUGAUAGAGAUGGCUGAAUGCAUAAUAUCUAUAUGUGGAAGAAACCAAAGCGACUGGGAAAAUUUGGCGAGUUGGAUCAUGAAUCAUAAUUGCAGGUGGUGGGAUUGGAUUUGGUGGAUGAUGAAAGCAAGCCAGAACCAACAACUACCCAAUGGACAAAUAUAAAGUCCCACGCCGCAACGCGGCGGGGUUCCAUCUAGUUAAUAAUAUAAUUUGAACUAAAAUAUAAUAAACCAACCCACCGCCCUUUCCCCUUCUCUCAUCCUGCUCUUUGUUUUGUGAUCCCAGAGCCACGACACCAACAACAACGCACAACAGGUCUUCAUCAGGUAGCAGCAACAGCUUCGGAUUCCGCCGAAGAAUAGUAAAUUAUGGCCACCAAACUCACGCAAAACAACAUCUUCAUCACUCCUUCCGGCAUUACAGAAGAAACCAUAUUCCUGCCUUUGGUAGCUGGGAUUGCAACGAUGAUCUACCCUUCACACAAUGCUUCGAAUCUGCCCGACAAGCCGGUUUGAUCCGAUACUCCGGGGGAGAUCGUGAUCUGUAUGUUGCCGGAGAUUUGUACGAGAAUAACAUCGUUACUCCCGCCAUUAUCGUCGCUCCUCGCCGGAGAGGGUAUCCGAAGAAACCCAAAAAGGAGGUGUGGGUGGAGUAUGACGACUGUGAGACGAAGGAACCACCGAGUCCUGUCAGUGUAGCCCCGGAACAACCGUCGUCACCACCAGCUGUCAAGCGUGUUAAGCCGAAACCGGUGGAUGAGGAUCUGUACAAGAUCUCACCGGAGCUCCUCCGUGAGAAGCCCAAAAGAAAGAAGUGGGGAUUAUUCUCAAGCUGCGUCAUGUGAAUCAAAACACAUAUAUGGAAGUAUUGAUCACGUGUUAUAUUUAGCGUGCCGGUUGAUUAUAAUAUAUACUAAAUGUAGACUAGUGACACCAAUCUUUAUAUUUGUUAUAUGUUUUUUAUUAUAUGUAACAGUCGUUGUUAUAUACUAUUUAUUAAUAUUAAUAUUCAGAAAA